rnacentral:rRNA from 1 species
ACGCUGGCGGCGUGUCUUAAGCAUGCAAGUUGAGCGGCAAGGGGGAGCGAUCCCUCCUUUUUCAGCGGACUGGUGAGUAACGCGUGGGUAAUCUGCCUUGGGCAUGGGGAUAGCCAUUAGAAAUAGUGGGUAAUACCGAAUACGUUCCACGGGGGGAGUGCUUGUGGAAGAAAGGGUGCUACGGCACUGGCCUGAGAUGAGCUCGCGUCCCAUUAGCUAGUUGGUGAGGUAAAGGCCCACCAAGGCGAUGAUGGGUAGCCGGCCUGAGAGGGUGUACGGCCACACUGGGACUGAGAUACGGCCCAGACUCCUACGGGAGGCAGCAGCUAAGAAUAUUCCGCAAUGGACGGAAGUCUGACGGAGCGACGCCGCGUGGAUGAAGAAGGCCGAAAGGUUGUAAAGUUCUUUUGCUGGGGAAGAAUAACCGCAGGAGGGAAUGCCUGUGGGAUGACAAGAACCGGCGAAUAAGCCCCGGCCAACUACGUGCCAGCAGCCGCGGUAACACGUAGGGGGCGAGCGUUGUUCGGAAUUACUGGGCGUAAAGGGCAUGUAGGCGGCUUGGAAAGCCUGGCGUGAAAGUCUGCAGCUUAACUGCAGGGGUGCGCUGGGAACUGCUGAGCUUGAGUGACGGAGAGGGAGCUGGAAUUCCUGGUGUAGGGGUGAAAUCUGUAGAUAUCAGGAAGAACACCGAUGGCGAAGGCAAGCUCCUGGCCGAUGACUGACGCUGAGGUGCGAAAGUGUGGGGAUCAAAAGGGAUUAGAUACCCUGGUAGUCCACACAGUCAACGAUAUACACUAGGUGCUGGGGCGGUAGCUUCGGUGCCGGAGAGAACGUGGUAAGUGCACCGCCUGGGGAAGUAUGCUCGCAAGGGUGAAAACUCCAAAGGAAUUGACGGGGGCCCGCACAAGCGGUGGAGCAUGUGGUUAAUUCGAUGGUACGCGAAGGAACUUUACCUGGGGUUUGACAUACGGAGGGAGGUGGCAGCGAUGUCGCCGUGUCGCAAGCCGCCUCCCCACAGGUGCUGCAUGGCUGUCGUCAGCUCGUGCCGAGAGGUGUUGGGUUAAGUCCCGCAACGAGCGCAACCCCUACUGCCAGUUACUAACAGGUGAAGCUGAGGACUCUGGCGGAACUGCCGGUGACGAACCGGAGGAAGGUGGGGAUGACGUCAAGUCAUCAUGGCCCUUAUGUCCAGGGCUACACACGUGCUACAAUGGGCGCGACAGAGUGAGGCGAAGCCGCGAGGUGGAGCAAAUCGCAGAAAAACGCCCUCAGUUCGGAUUGGAGUCUGAAACCCGACUCCAUGAAGGUGGAAUCGCUAAUAAUCGCGCAUCAGCAUGGCGCGGUGAAAAAGUUCCCGGGCCUUGCACACACC